rnacentral:rRNA from 1 species
UUGAACGCUGGCGGCAGGCCUAACACAUGCAAGUCGAGCGGUAGCACAGAGAGCUUGCUCUCGGGUGACGAGCGGCGGACGGGUGAGUAAUGUCUGGGAAACUGCCUGAUGGAGGGGGAUAACUACUGGAAACGGUAGCUAAUACCGCAUAAUGUCGCAAGACCAAAGUGGGGGACCUUCGGGCCUCAUGCCAUCAGAUGUGCCCAGAUGGGAUUAGCUAGUAGGUGGGGUAACGGCUCACCUAGGCGACGAUCCCUAGCUGGUCUGAGAGGAUGACCAGCCACACUGGAACUGAGACACGGUCCAGACUCCUACGGGAGGCAGCAGUGGGGAAUAUUGCACAAUGGGCGCAAGCCUGAUGCAGCCAUGCCGCGUGUGUGAAGAAGGCCUUCGGGUUGUAAAGCACUUUCAGCGGGGAGGAAGGCGUUAAGGUUAAUAACCUUGGCGAUUGACGUUACCCGCAGAAGAAGCACCGGCUAACUCCGUGCCAGCAGCCGCGGUAAUACGGAGGGUGCAAGCGUUAAUCGGAAUUACUGGGCGUAAAGCGCACGCAGGCGGUCUGUCAAGUCGGAUGUGAAAUCCCCGGGCUCAACCUGGGAACUGCAUUCGAAACUGGCAGGCUAGAGUCUUGUAGAGGGGGGUAGAAUUCCAGGUGUAGCGGUGAAAUGCGUAGAGAUCUGGAGGAAUACCGGUGGCGAAGGCGGCCCCCUGGACAAAGACUGACGCUCAGGUGCGAAAGCGUGGGGAGCAAACAGGAUUAGAUACCCUGGUAGUCCACGCCGUAAACGAUGUCGAUUUGGAGGUUGUGCCCUUGAGGCGUGGCUUCCGGAGCUAACGCGUUAAAUCGACCGCCUGGGGAGUACGGCCGCAAGGUUAAAACUCAAAUGAAUUGACGGGGGCCCGCACAAGCGGUGGAGCAUGUGGUUUAAUUCGAUGCAACGCGAAGAACCUUACCUGGUCUUGACAUCCACAGAACUUUCCAGAGAUGGAUUGGUGCCUUCGGGAACUAUGAGACAGGUGCUGCAUGGCUGUCGUCAGCUCGUGUUGUGAAAUGUUGGGUUAAGUCCCGCAACGAGCGCAACCCUUAUCCUUUGUUGCCAGCGGUUAGGCCGGGAACUCAAAGGAGACUGCCAGUGAUAAACUGGAGGAAGGUGGGGAUGACGUCAAGUCAUCAUGGCCCUUACGACCAGGGCUACACACGUGCUACAAUGGCAUAUACAAAGAGAAGCGACCUCGCGAGAGCAAGCGGACCUCAUAAAGUAUGUCGUAGUCCGGAUUGGAGUCUGCAACUCGACUCCAUGAAGUCGGAAUCGCUAGUAAUCGUAGAUCAGAAUGCUACGGUGAAUACGUUCCCGGGCCUUGUACACACCGCCCGUCACACCAUGGGAGUGGGUUGCAAAAGAAGUAGGUAGCUUAACCUUCGGGAGGGCGCUUACCACUUUGUGAUUCAUGACUGGGGUG